AUCUAACACCAGGACCAUUCUUUAAUCUUUAGCAAUCCUGCCGGAGGUGGUUGUAGAGGAGCUGUAGUGUGUGUUGGCUCAGGACUGUGCCUGUGUAUGAAGGGAGAGGAGCUGUAGUGUGUGUUGGCUCAGGGGUGUACCUGUGUAUGAAGGUAGAGGAGCUGUAGCGUGUGUUGGCUCAGGAGUGUGUCUGUGUAUGAAGGGAGAGGAGCUGUAGUGUGUGUUGG